GUGUAUUCUCAGCUUUGAGAACUGAAUUCCAUGGGUUGUAAUUGAAUCUGCUGUCAGACCCAUGAGGCUCAGUUCUUCAGCUUGGAUAUUUCUG
rfam:Pygoscelis adeliae contig35603, whole genome shotgun sequence.